ACGAACCCAGGCCCUACGGGGCGCAGCAGGCGCGAAACCUUCGCACUGCGCGAAAGCGCGACGAGGGGGGCCCGAGUGCCUCUCCAUUUCGGGGAGGCUUUUCACAAGCCUAAAAAGCUUGUGGAAUAAGGGCUGGGCAAGACGGGUGCCAGCCGCCGCGGUAAUACCCGCAGCUCGAGUGGUGGUCGCUUUUAUUGAGCCUAAAACGUUCGUAGUCGGCCUUGUAAAUCCCUGGGUAAAUUGGGCCGCUUAACGGUUCAAAUUCCGGGAGACUGCAAGGCUAGGGACCCGGCGAGGUCAGAGGUACUUUCGGGGUAGGGGUGAAAUCCUGUAUCCCGAAGGGACCACCUGUGGCGAAAGCGUCUGACUUGAACGGCCCCAACGAUGAGGAACGAAGGCUAGGGGAGCAAACCGGAUUAGAUCCCCGGGUAGUCCUAGCUGUAAACUCUGCCCGCUUGGUGUGGCCUGUCCUUCGGGGGCAGGCCGUGCCGGAGCGAAGGUGUUAAGCGGGCUGCUUGGGGAGUACGGCCGCAAGGUUGAAACUUAAAGGAAUUGGCGGGGGAGCACCGCAACGGGAGGAUGCGUGCGGUUUAAUUGGAUUCAACGCCGGAAAACUCACCUGAGGAGACCAGCGUAUGUGGGUCAAGCCGAAGACUUUACCCGACAGCUGGAGAGGUGGUGCAUGGCCAUCGUCAGCUCGUACCGUAGGGCAUUCACUUAAGUGUGAUAACGUGCGAGACCCCCAUCCCUAGUUGCUAACCCCUCCGAAAGGAGGGGUGCACUCUAGGGAGACCGCUUCCGCUAAGGAAGAGGAAGGAGGGGUCGACGGUAGGUCAGUAUGCCCCGAAUCCUCAGGGCAACACGCGCGCUACAAAGGACAGGACAAUGGGUUCCAACCCCGAAAGGGGAAGGUAAUCCCGAAACCUGUUCGUAGUCCGGAUUGAGGGCUAUAACUCGCCCUCAUGAAGGUGGAUUCCGUAGUAAUCGCGGAUCAACAGUCCGCGGUGAAUAUGCCCCUGCUCCUU
rnacentral:rRNA from 1 species